rnacentral:rRNA from 1 species
AUUGAACGCUGGCGGCAGGCUUAACACAUGCAAGUCGAGCGGAGAGAGGUAGCUUGCUACUGAUCUUAGCGGCGGACGGGUGAGUAAUGCUUAGGAAUCUGCCUAUUAGUGGGGGACAACAUUUCGAAAGGAAUGCUAAUACCGCAUACGUCCUACGGGAGAAAGCAGGGGAUCUUCGGACCUUGCGCUAAUAGAUGAGCCUAAGUCGGAUUAGCUAGUUGGUGGGGUAAAGGCCUACCAAGGCGACGAUCUGUAGCGGGUCUGAGAGGAUGAUCCGCCACACUGGGACUGAGACACGGCCCAGACUCCUACGGGAGGCAGCAGUGGGGAAUAUUGGUCAAUGGGCGCGAGCCUGAUCCAGCCAUGCCGCGUGUGUGAAGAAGGCCUUAUGGUUGUAAAGCACUUUAAGCGAGGAGGAGGCUACUUUAGUUAAUACCUAGAGAUAGUGGACGUUACUCGCAGAAUAAGCACCGGCUAACUCUGUGCCAGCCGCCGCCGUAAAAC